UGGCGACUGGCCAAGGAGAAGCACCCUCU
rnacentral:piRNA from 1 species